rnacentral:lncRNA from 1 species
GUCAAGCACAGAAAAAACACUUGCUAACCUAGGCUCCAUUGCCUUAAACUUUUGUCACCAGUCAAGCACAGAAAAAACACUUGCUAACCUAGGCUCCAUUGCCUUAAACUUUGUUCAUCAGUUAAGACAAGAGUUAAGUCCAUCUAGUGGAGAGAAAGAAGGAUGGGAAAAGUUUCUUAGGCGUGAAUGUCAAAACAAAAUUAUGUCAUCAAGGCUCCUGGUGUAGUUUCCUUUUGUGGGAUGAUUUUAAUCUGGUUUUGGAAGAAUAUGUUUCUGGGGUGAUGGCUUUUAGAGAAUAUGUGACCUGUGGCUACCAGGGUUCAGCAACCCUCGCUCGGUCAAAGGGAGUGCUUCCCCUUCCCCAAUAAGUGAAACUUUAUUCCCUUAGAGAAAAGUGGCUUGGCCAUUCUACCAACUACCUGUAGCUGAUGUGACAAUGGUUCAAGGCAAGGCAGCCA